rnacentral:rRNA from 1 species
GAGUUUGAUCAUGGCUCAGAUUGAACGCUGGCGGCAGGCCUAACACAUGCAAGUCGAAAGGUAACAGGAAACAGCUUGCUGUUUCGCUGACGAGUGGCGGACGGGUGAGUAAUGUCUGGGAAACUGCCUGAUGAGGGGGAUAACUACUGGAAACGGUAGCUAAUACCGCAUAACGUCGCAAGACCAAAGAGGGGGACCUUCGGGCCUCUUGCCAUCGGAUGUGCCCAGAUGGGAUUAGCUUGUUGGUGGGGUAACGGCUCACCAAGGCGACGAUCCCUAGCUGGUCUGAGAGGAUGACCAGCCACACUGGAACUGAGACACGGUCCAGACUCCUACGGGAGGCAGCAGUGGGGAAUAUUGCACAAUGGGCGCAAGCCUGAUGCAGCCAUGCCGCGUGUAUGAAGAAGGCCUUCGGGUUGUAAAGUACUUUCAGCGGGGAGGAAGGGAGUAAAGUUAAUACCUUUGCUCAUUGACGUUACCCGCAGAAGAAGCACCGGCUAACUCCGUGCCAGCAGCCGCGGUAAUACGGAGGGUGCAAGCGUUAAUCGGAAUUACUGGGCGUAAAGCGCACGCAGGCGGUUUGUUAAGUCAGAUGUGAAAUCCCCGGGCUCAACCUGGGAACUGCAUCUGAUACUGGCAAGCUUGAGUCUCGUAGAGGGGGGUAGAAUUCCAGGUGUAGCGGUGAAAUGCGUAGAGAUCUGGAGGAAUACCGGUGGCGAAGGCGGCCCCCUGGACGAAGACUGACGCUCAGGUGCGAAAGCGUGGGGAGCAAACAGGAUUAGAUACCCUGGUAGUCCACGCCGUAAACGAUGUCGACUUGGAGGUUGUGCCCUUGAGGCGUGGCUUCCGGAGCUAACGCGUUAAGUCGACCGCCUGGGGAGUACGGCCGCAAGGUCAAAACUCAAAUGAAUUGACGGGGGCCCGCACAAGCGGUGGAGCAUGUGGUUUAAUUCGAUGCAACGCGAAGAACCUUACCUGGUCUUGACAUCCACAGAACUUUCCAGAGAUGGAUUGGUGCCUUCGGGAACUGUGAGACAGGUGCUGCAUGGCUGUCGUCAGCUCGUGUUGUGAAAUGUUGGGUUAAGUCCCGCAACGAGCGCAACCCUUAUCCUUUGUUGCCAGCGGUCCGGCCGGGAACUCAAAGGAGACUGCCAGUGAUAAACUGGAGGAAGGUGGGGAUGACGUCAAGUCAUCAUGGCCCUUACGACCAGGGCUACACACGUGCUACAAUGGCGCAUACAAAGAGAAGCGACCUCGCGAGAGCAAGCGGACCUCAUAAAGUGCGUCGUAGUCCGGAUUGGAGUCUGCAACUCGACUCCAUGAAGUCGGAAUCGCUAGUAAUCGUGGAUCAGAAUGCCACGGUGAAUACGUUCCCGGGCCUUGUACACACCGCCCGUCACACCAUGGGAGUGGGUUGCAAAAGAAGUAGGUAGCUUAACCUUCGGGAGGGCGCUUACCACUUUGUGAUUCAUGACUGGGGUGAAGUCGUAACAAGGUAACCGUAGGGGAACCUGCGGUUGGAUCACC